rnacentral:lncRNA from 10 species
AGAUCUGUAUCAGAGGCACGGGCCUGGCAGCCUUCACUGCACUUGGGCUCUGAAAGACGUUCUCACUCUUGCAAGUCACCUGGGAAAGCCAGAAUCGAUACUGUAUGGUUUAACAUUUGAAACUGACUUGCAGGUAAUGGCUUCUGCAUUUCCAGAAGGCACCCGUGUGCCUGUAGGGAUCUCAUUUUAAGGAUCACUGCUUUUUGUUUCUCAUCUACAGGCUACAGAGACCCAUCUCUCAGUUUGGAUUUUGAUUAAACAGUUAUGCAGAGUAGAAAACUUGGGCCAUACACAAAACUUAAUUAAAAUAAGCCUCCACUUGGGAUUAAUGUAUGUUAUUGACUGAAUCGUGUCCCUCCCCGCUCCCCCCUCUCCUGCCAUAUUCAUAUGUUCAAGUCCUAACCUCCAAUGUGGCUGUAUUUGGAGAUAGUGCCCUUAGGGAGAUAAUUAAGAUUAAAUGAGGUUCUAAGGGUAGGGCUCUAAUCCAAUAGGACACCAGAGAGCUUGUGCUGGGAAUCUCUCUCUCUCUCUCUCUCUCUCUCUCUCUCUCUCUCUCUCUCUCUCUGUCUCUCUCUCUCUCUGUUGCCUCCCUGUACAAGGCCAUGUGAGGACACAGUGAGAAGGCAGCUAUCUGCAAGCCCGGAAGAGAAGCCUCACCAGAAACCAACACGAUUGCACCUUGAUCUCAGACUUUCAGGCUCCAGAACUGUGAGAAAAUUAAUUUCUGGUGUCGAAACCACCCAGUCUGUGGUAUUUUUUUAUGGCAGUCCCAGCAGAUACAAUGUGACUGUUUACUUUCUUCUCUACUACAGGCAAGCUGCAAAGUGCUGCUAAGUAAUAUCACACAGCCACUGCUGAUUGUGUGAGUUGAGUUGGGGAGAGGUUGUUACUAUGAGACCUAUUCCAGAGCAGAAACAGGAAGAUUGUGAAUCUCAUCCUCGUCACUUGCCCAUGGCCUGCAGCAUCCAGACCCCUCGAGGUCCUCUCCUAUCUUCUUGCCAAAGCUUACUUUCAGGGAGGACUUGGAAAUUCAUUCCCUCUAGGUGGUAAAUAAUGUAACAGCAUAAAGUGUUAUGUCACCUAGGGACAUGUAAAUUGAGCCGAGAGCCAAGUGUUAAGCUAAAGGGAUGACAAUCUAACAGGGAAAUAUCAUCUAGCAUCUACCUGUCCAACAAUAUGAAUCUACUGCGAGCUCAGGAACAUCCCCAGUAUCAGAUGUAAAGCUCUGGGGAUAAGAGGGCAAAGAAGGCAAUUACCUGAAUUGUGGAGCUCACAUGUGUUGAGAGAAACAGACAAAUAAGCAGAUUACGAUACAGUGUGAUAAAGGCUGUAAAUGUGAAUGAAGUGCUAUAGGAACAUAGAGCUUCAGGCUCAGGCCAAAUAGGCAGGGGGGCAUGUGUGUGUGUAGA